CAGUAGCCACGGGAAUACAGAGGGUGCGAGCGUUAAUCGGAUUUACUGGGCGUAAAGCGUGCGUAGGCGGCUUUUUAAGUCGGAUGUGAAAUCCCUGAGCUUAACUUAGGAAUUGCAUUCGAUACUGGGAAGCUAGAGUAUGGGAGAGGAUGGUAGAAUUCCAGGUGUAGCGGUGAAAUGCGUAGAGAUCUGGAGGAAUACCGAUGGCGAAGGCAGCCAUCUGGCCUAAUACUGACGCUCAGGUGCGAAAGCGUGGGGAGCAAACAGGAUUAGAUACCCCUGUAGUCCCUGUCUCUUAUAC
rnacentral:rRNA from 1 species